UACGAAGGGGGCUAGCGUUGCUCGGAAUUACUGGGCGUAAAGGGCGCGUAGGCGGACAUUUAAGUUAGAGGUGAAAGCCCAGGGCUCAACCCUGGAAUAGCCUUUAAUACUGGAUGUCUUGAGUUCGGGAGAGGUGAGUGGAAUGCCGAGUGUAGAGGUGAAAUUCGCAGAUAUUCGGCGGAACACCAGUGGCGAAGGCGACUCACUGGUCCGAUACUGACGCUGAGGUGCGAAAGCGUGGGGAGCAAACAGG
rnacentral:rRNA from 1 species